rnacentral:sRNA from 1 species
GGAUAGCUCUCUCUGGGCUUUUCGAAAAGGUAUCACAUGCCAAGUUUGGCCUCACGGUCUAAAAGUUAUAAAGUCAUACAUUUUUAACAAAAAAAAAAGAGAAAAACCGAAAAAAAGAGUUAUGAACCACGAGGACUUUCCUGGAGGUCACCCGUCCUAGUACUACUCUCGCCCAAACACGCUUAACUGCGGUGUUCUGAUAGGAUCAAGUGCAUUAGUGCUGGUAUGAUCGCAUCAGUUACUACAUGCAAUGCAAUCAUAUAUAUUCUUUUUUGAAGACUUUAUGAUCCAUUUGCCGUAGGUCCCACCAGCUAUGUAGGAAUACCCUAUCUUGUUUAUAAGAGCUUUGAUACAUGCAAAAUAUUCGAAAACAAUGUCCGAACAUAUAAUUUUUGUCCCGUAAUAUAGCAAAGAUCACGAAAAGGCCAAAAAAAAUACAUUUCGGUCAAAAUUUGGAGUAGAAAAAAACCCCUUCCUCAUUCAUUGGACAGCUCUCUUUGGGCUUUCCGAAAAGGUAUCACAUGCCAAGUUUGGUCUCACGGUCUAAAAGUUAUAGAGUCAUACAUUUUUCAGAAAAAAAAGAAGAGAAAAAACCAAAAAAAGAGUGAUGAAACACGAGGACUUUCUUGGAGGCCACCCAUCCUAGUACUACUCUCGCCCAAGCACGCUUAACUGCGAAGUUCUGAUGGGAUCUGGUGCAUUAGUGAUGGUAUGAUCGCAUCUGUUACUACAUGCAAUGCAAUCGUAUCUAUUCUUUUUUGAAGAUUUUAUGAUCCAUUUGCAGUGGGUCCCACCAGCUAUGUAGGAAUACCCUAUCUUGUUUAUAAGAGCUUUGAUACAUGCAAAAUAUUCGAAAACAAUGUCCGAACAUAUAAUUUUCGCCCCGUAAUAUAGCAAAGAUCACGAAAAUGCCGAAAUAGUACAUUAAGGUCAAAAUUUGGAGUAGGAAAAAAAAACCUUCCUCAUUCAUUGGAGAGCUCUCUUUGGGUUUUCCGAAAAGGUAUCACAUGCCAAGUUUGGCCUCACGGUCUAAAAGUUAUAAAGUCAUACAUUUUUAACAAAAAAAAAAAGAGAAAAACCGAAAAAAAGAGUUAUGCAACACGAGGACUUUCCUGGAGGUCACCCGUCCUAGUACUACUCUCGCCCAAACACGCUUAACUACGGUGUUCUGAUAGGAUCAAGUGCAUUAGUGCUGGUAUGAUCGCAUCAGUUACUACAUGCAAUGCAAUCAUAUAUAUUCUUUUUUGAAGACUUCAUGAUCCAUUUGCCGUAGGUCCCACCAGCUAUGUAGGAAUACCCUAUCUUGUUUAUAAGAGCUUUGAUACAUGCAAAAUAUUCGAAAACAAUGUCCGAACAUAUAAUUUUUGUCCCGUAAUAUAGCAAAGAUCACGAAAAGGCCAGAAAAAAUAAAUUUCGGUCAAAAUUUAGAGUAGAAAAAAACCCCUUCCUCAUUCAUUGGACAACUCUCUUUGGGCUUUCCGAAAAGGUAUCACAUGCCAAGUUUGGCCUCACGGUCUAAAAGUUAUAGAGUCAUACAUUUUUCACAAAAAAAAGAAGAGAAAAACCAAAAAAAAGAGUGAUGAAACACGAGGACUUUCCUGGAGGUCACCCAUCCUAGUACUACUCUCGCCCAAGCACGCUUAACGGCGGUGUUCUGAUAGGAUCAAUUA